UACGUAGGGUGCGAGCGUUGUCCGGAAUUAUUGGGCGUAAAGAGCUCGUAGGCGGUGUGUCACGUCGGCCGUGAAAACCUGCAGCUUAACUGUGGGCGUGCGGUCGAUACGGGCAUCACUGGAGUUCGGCAGGGGAGACUGGAAUUCCUGGUGUAGCGGUGAAAUGCGCAGAUAUCAGGAGGAACACCAACAGCGAAGGCAGCACUCUGGGCCGGUACUGACGCUGAGGAGCGAAAGCAUGGGGAGCGAACAGG
rnacentral:rRNA from 1 species